AAAAAAUAAAUAGAAGAGCGCAAGUCAUUCUAGCUUAAAAAACAAAUGUUAAUAUAUAACUCAAACAAAUCAAAAUAUAUACAGCAGACUUUUACACAAAACCUACACUCAGUGAACGAUUUCCUCUCUUUCAUCAAUUAUCACUGCAAGCACAUCAAAAAUUUACAGAGAAAAUCUGUACCAUGCAAUGCAGAACAAAUCAAGAACCAUAUCUUCUGCUAUAUGUGAUCACACCCAGUCAACCUCUGUCAUCUUCCAGAACCUUUGAGACCCAUCAGCAAAACAAGAAGAUCGUUGGAUUUUAUGAUGUAGCAGUCCAGUCCAAAGAUGGCAUCAGCCUCAUGAUUUUCUCAAACCGAUAUGACCAUGGAGAAAGCCACCUUCCCAUAUAUAUACAUCUUCACUCAUUCUGUCUCAAUUGGCCAUGUGUCAGAUCAUUUAUGGCAACCAAGUUGUAUAUACUGGAAUAAAGAAACGGGUGAUAAAUGUAGCAGUCAUAUCAUGUGAAUAAGAGCCUGUGGGCGAGGCCUUGAUCUCAUUAUUGUCUCAUCACUGUGUUUGAUCCAUUCUGAGAGCUUCCAUGGCUUCUGCCACUUCCAUU
rnacentral:misc_RNA from 1 species